AUAUUAUCAAGAGUGGACGAGAGAAUCGGCUUUAUGACUCCACAGCAACCUAUUAAAUUAGGUGCUAAUACCGACAAAGCAAGUACGCUUUGGAUGAUGAUUA
rnacentral:ncRNA from 2 species